rnacentral:rRNA from 1 species
UACAGAGGGUGCAAGCGUUGCUCGGAUUUACUGGGCGUAAAGCGUACGCAGACGGACCGUCAAGUCGGGAGUGAAAGCCCUGGGCUCAACCCAGGAACGGCUUCCGAUACUAGCGGCCUUGAGUUUGGGAGAGGGAAGCGGAAUUCCUGGUGUAGAGGUGAAAUUCGUAGAUAUCAGGAGGAACACCGGCGGCGAAGGCGGCUUCCUGGCCCAAUACUGACGUUCAGGUACGAAAGCGUGGGUAGCAAACAGG